rnacentral:rRNA from 2 species
CUGGCUCAGGACGAACGCUGGCGGCGUGCCUAAUACAUGCAAGUCGAACGCACUGACGUCGACCGAAGCUGCUUGCAGUGGACGUUGAUUGACGUGAGUGGCGGACGGGUGAGUAACACGUGGGUAACCUACCCUUAAGUGGGGGAUAACAUUUGGAAACAGAUGCUAAUACCGCAUAACCAUUCAGACCRCAUGGUCUGAAUGUAAAAGACGGCCUUUGGCUGUCACUUUUGGACGGACCCGCGGCGUAUUAGUUAGUUGGUAAGGUAACGGCUUACCAAGACAAUGAUACGUAGCCGACCUGAGAGGGUAAUCGGCCACAUUGGGACUGAGACACGGCCCAAACUCCUACGGGAGGCAGCAGUAGGGAAUCUUCCACAAUGGACGAAAGUCUGAUGGAGCAACGCCGCGUGAGUGAAGAAGGUUUUAGGAUCGUAAAACUCUGUUGUUGGAGAAGAACAGGGACUAGAGUAACUGUUAGUCCUUUGACGGUAUCCAACCAGAAAGCCACGGCUAACUACGUGCCAGCAGCCGCGGUAAUACGUAGGUGGCAAGCGUUGUCCGGAUUUAUUGGGCGUAAAGCGAGCGCAGGCGGUUUUUUAAGUCUGAUGUGAAAGCCUUCGGCUUAACCGAAGAAGUGCAUUAGAAACUGGRAAACUUGAGUGCAGAAGAGGACAGUGGAACUCCAUGUGUAGCGGUGAAAUGCGUAGAUAUAUGGAAGAACACCAGUGGCGAAGGCGGCUGUCUGGUCUGUAACUGACGCUGAGGCUCGAAAGUAUGGGGAGCGAACAGGAUUAGAUACCCUGGUAGUCCAUACCGUAAACGAUGAAUGCUAAGUGUUGGAGGGUUUCCGCCCUUCAGUGCUGCAGCUAACGCAUUAAGCAUUCCGCCUGGGGAGUACGACCGCAAGGUUGAAACUCAAAGGAAUUGACGGGGGCCCGCACAAGCGGUGGAGCAUGUGGUUUAAUUCGAAGCAACGCGAAGAACCUUACCAGGUCUUGACAUCCUUUGACCACUGUAGAGAUACAGCUUUCCCUUCGGGGACAAAGUGACAGGUGGUGCAUGGUUGUCGUCAGCUCGUGUCGUGAGAUGUUGGGUUAAGUCCCGCAACGAGCGCAACCCUUAUGACUAGUUGCCAGCAUUUAGUUGGGCACUCUAGUAAGACUGCCGGUGACAAACCGGAGGAAGGUGGGGAUGACGUCAAAUCAGCAUGCCCCUUAUGACCUGGGCUACACACGUGCUACAAUGGUCGGUACAACGAGUUGCGAACCCGCGAGGGUAAGCUAAUCUCUUAAAGCCGAUCUCAGUUCGGAUUGUAGGCUGCAACUCGCCUACAUGAAGCCGGAAUCGCUAGUAAUCGCGGAUCAGCACGCCGCGGUGAAUACGUUCCCGGGCCUUGUACACACCGCCCGUCACACCAUGAGAGUUUGUAACACCCGAAGUCGGUGGGGUAACCCUUUUAGGGAACUAGCCGCCUAAGGUGGGACAGAUGAUUGGGGUGAAGUCGUA